CACAAGAACCACCUCCCUCUCUCUCUCAAACCCAGCAAUGGGUCUUCUUCAAACCCUACUCCCUCUCCUCCUCCUUCUCCUCCUCCACCUCACCGCCGCUGACGACGCCGUCGUCAUGUCCAAGCUCCUCGAGAAUCUCAAACCCAGCGGCUGGUCCUCCUCCACCUCCUACUGCUCCUGGGACGGCGUCAAAUGCGACUCCGACACUUCCAAACGCGUCACCUCCAUCAACCUCCCCUCCCAGUCCCUCUCCGGCCCCCUCCCCUCCAAUCUCAACUCCCUCUCCGAACUCACCACCCUCGCCCUCCAGUCCAACUCCCUCUCCGGCCCCUUCCCCACCCUCGCCAACCUCUCCAACCUCCGCGAAGUCUUCCUCGACACCAACAACUUCUCCUCCAUCCCCGCCUCCUGCUUCCAAGGCCUCACCAGCCUCCAGACCCUCAGCAUGGGAUCCAACAACAACCUCGCCCCCUGGCUCUUCCCCUCCGAGCUCACCCAGUCCACCAGCAUCGUCACCCUCCAAGCCGGCAACACCAACCUCUACGGCACCAUCCCCGACAUUUUCGCCUCCUUCGCCAACCUACAGAACCUCAGACUCUCCUACAACAACCUCACCGGGCCCCUCCCCGGGUCGUUCGCCGGAUCUGGGAUUCAGUAUCUCUGGAUUAACAACCAGCAGCUCGGUAUGUCCGGUGGAGUCGGCGUCCUUUCGAAUAUGACUUCCUUGACUCAGGCCUGGCUGAACAAGAAUCAGUUCAGCGGCGAGAUCCCGGACCUCUCGCAGUGUAGUGCUCUCGGCGAGCUUCGCCUGAGGGACAAUGUGUUCACUGGGACGGUCCCCGCGACGCUGUUGGGGCUGGCUUCUUUGCAGAAUGUUACUUUGGACAACAAUAAGCUGCAGGGUCCUUUGCCCGAGUUUGGGUCCAAGGUGACGGCGAGCUUCGAUGGGAAUAGCUUCUGCAAGACCACUGCCGGGCCGUGUGAUCCGCAGGUGACUACGCUGCUGCAGGUUGCCGGGGCUCUGGGGUAUCCCGAGUCACUGGCGGAGGCUUGGACAGGGAACGAUGCGUGCGAUAGCUGGAGCUACAUUACUUGUGAUUCUUCUGGGAAGGUGAUUACGGUGAAUUUCGAGAACCAGCAUUUCAAUGGGACUAUUUCACCUACGUUUGCCAACCUCACAUCGCUGCAGAGACUGUUGUUGAAGAACAACAACUUGACGGGGACCAUACCGGCUAGCCUGACCACAUUAGCUGCGCUGAAGACUCUGGAUGCCUCCAAUAACAAUUUAUAUGGUGACAUCCCGAAAUUUGCGACCGGGGUGAAUGUGGUUACUAGUGGUAAUAAGUUGAUUGGGACUUUACCGAGCCUGGAUGGUGGAGGGACCUCACCGUCUGGCAACAACUCGACUGCACCAAAUGGGAGUCCUUCUCCAUCGGCAAAUGGUAACUCGGUGUCGCCUGGUAUGAUUGCUGGUAUAGUCAUUGCUGUUGUUGUUUUCAUUGGAGUGUUGUUGUUCGUGUUCAUCAAAUGUUAUUUGGGUAAGAAGCAUAGGAAGUUUGGAAGAGUGGAUAAUACGCUGAAUGGUAUUGAAAUUGCUAAGAGUGAUGCGACCAGUUGUGCAAAUGGGUACCAUGGAGUUGCAAGUGAGUUGCAGAGCCAGAGCAGUGGUGACCUCCAUGUUUUUGAGGGUGGAAAUGUCGCUAUCUCGAUCCAAGUUCUUAGACAAGUGACAGACAAUUUUAGUGAGGAUAAUAUUUUGGGUAGAGGAGGAUUUGGAGUAGUCUACAAAGGUGAAUUACAUGAUGGGACUAAAAUUGCUGUUAAGAGGAUGGAAUCAGUGGCAGUAGGUACUAAGGGAUUGAACGAGUUUCAGGCGGAAAUUGCAGUCCUCACUAAGGUCAGGCACAGGCAUUUGGUUGCUCUGUUAGGAUACUGCAUUAAUGGCAAUGAGAGACUUCUGGUGUACGAGUACAUGCCACAAGGAACAUUGACACAACAUUUGUUUGAUUGGCGCGAGACUGGAGUAACUCCUCUUACUUGGAAGCAGAGAGUGACAGUUGCUUUGGAUGUAGCAAGAGGAGUAGAAUAUCUACACAGCUUAGCUCAACAAAGUUUCAUUCACAGAGACUUGAAACCCUCAAAUAUACUUCUCGGGGAUGACAUGAGGGCGAAGGUUGCGGACUUUGGUUUAGUUAAAAAUGCCCCUGAUGGAAAGUAUUCAGUUGAGACACGAUUGGCAGGGACAUUUGGGUAUCUUGCACCAGAAUAUGCAGCUACCGGCAGAGUGACAACAAAGGUGGAUGUUUAUGCAUUUGGAGUGGUGUUGAUGGAGUUGAUGACUGGUCGAAAAGCUCUAGAUGAUACCAUGCCAGAUGAAAGGUCUCAUUUGGUCUCAUGGUUCCGCAGAGUCCUUGUCAACAAAGAAAACAUCCCCAAGUCCCUCGACCAAACUCUUGACCCUGAUGAGGAGACAAUGGAGAGCAUAUACAAAGUUGCGGAGCUUGCGGGUCACUGCACAGCUCGUGAGCCAUAUCAGAGACCAGACAUGGGCCAUGCAGUCAACAUCUUGGGUCCUCUUGUUGAGCACUGGAAACCUACCACCCAUGAAGAAGAAGAUGAAAACAGUGGCAUUAACAUGCACAUGAACCUUUCUCAAGCUGUGCAAAGAUGGCAAGCUGAUGAAGGUACUUCAAGGAUGUUUGAUGAUUUGUCCUACUCCCAAUCAAGCAUCCCUUCAAAACCUUCCGGGUUUGCAGACUCAUUCGCUUCAACGGACUGCCGAUGAUAGAGAGAAUGAAGAUUGAAUCGAUAAACACUCUGAAGACAGAGACAAAGAGACUCCAAAAGGUGGGGACUACGAGAAAAAGAGAGCAGGCUGUGUUAAACGACAGCAUGGCAGCUUAGGAUCCCAGUACUACCAGCAAGAUCUUAUGAUGAAAGAAAAAAAGAAAACCAAAGGGGGUAGGUUGAUCAUUGGGUAUAAGCUGGAAGAGGGACAGCGUAGAGAUUACUUGUUGUGCAUGAUUUGUAUAGUUAUAAUUUAGAAAGAACUGCACAUGGAAUUAUAAGGGUGCAUGUUAGGUUUGGUUGAAAGGUGAACCUUCUGUUUGUGAAGAUGUGACUUUUGUUAGUGCUGCACAUGUUGUAGGACCUUCCCUUAUUUCAUUUCUUUUGUUUUUCUGUUUUGUAUUUCAUGUGAAAUUGAUGGUUAGCAAUUUGGAGA